AGUGGUAUAACUGGGCCAAAUGGUGCUUCUAUUCCAAGUUUUCUGAGGAAUAUCCAUACUGUUUUUCAUAACGGUUGUACCAAUUUGCAGUCCCAAAAGCGAU
rnacentral:pre_miRNA from 1 species